GACGAACGCUGGCGGCGUGCUUAACACAUGCAAGUCGAACGGAAAGGCCCUGCUUUUGUGGGGUGCUCGAGUGGCGAACGGGUGAGUAACACGUGAGUAACCUGCCCUUGACUUUGGGAUAACUUCAGGAAACUGGGGCUAAUACCGGAUAGGAGCUCCUGCUGCAUGGUGGGGGUUGGAAAGUUUCGGCGGUUGGGGAUGGACUCGCGGCUUAUCAGCUUGUUGGUGGGGUAGUGGCUUACCAAGGCUUUGACGGGUAGCCGGCCUGAGAGGGUGACCGGCCACAUUGGGACUGAGAUACGGCCCAGACGCCUACGGGAGGCAGCAGUGGGGAAUAUUGCACAAUGGGCGGAAGCCGGAUGCAGCAACGCCGCGUGCGGGAUGACGGCCUUCGGGUUGUAAACCGCUUUCGCAUGUGACGAAGCGUGAGUGACGGGAAUGGGUAAAGAAGCACCGGCUAACUACGG
rnacentral:rRNA from 1 species